ACGCUCGACACCUACGGGAGACAGCAGUGGGGAAUAUUGCACAAUGGGGGAAACCCUGAUGCAGCGACGCCGCGUGGAGGAAGAAGGUCUUCGGAUUGUAAACUCCUGUUGUUGGGAAAAGAGGAUGGUACCCAACAAGGAAGUGACGGCUAACUACGUGCCAACAGCCGCGGUAAUCUGAGCGGGCUGGCAAGGCG
rnacentral:rRNA from 1 species